rnacentral:SRP_RNA from 1 species
CCGGGGAACCCGUGCGAGGUUGCGCUGUGAACCGGGUCAGGACCGGAAGGUAGCAGCCCUAAGCAGAUUGCAGCCGGCGCCGCGGCCAUUCCCCGGUGU